rnacentral:rRNA from 1 species
GCCGGUGAUCUAACUCAAUGUGCCCCACCUCUUCUCAUUCCGAACAGAGAAGUGAAAGCAUUGAGUCGCGAUGAUACUUAUCCCUUCGGGGAUUUGGGAAAGUAGCGUUUGCCGGCA